rnacentral:rRNA from 1 species
AUCAUGGUCAGGAUGAACGCUAGCUACAGGCUUAACACAUGCAAGUCGAGGGGCAGCAUGGUCUUAGCUUGCUAAGGCCGAUGGCGACCGGCGCACGGGUGAGUAACGCGUAUCCAACCUGCCUUACACUCUUGGACAGUCUUCUGAAAGGGAGAUUAAUACAAGAUGUUAUCAUGAGUAAGCAUUUUCGCAUGAUUAAAGGUUUACCGGUGUAAGAUGGGGAUGCGUUCCA